rnacentral:lncRNA from 1 species
AUUCAGGUUGUGAGCUGCAUCUUUUAUAGCUCUGUUGGAGAAUUGUUUCUCAGAAUCUUCAAGCUUAGGCUUGACUGUAGUGAGUAAGCUGAUAAGUGCAGCCUUAGCGAGAUGGAAACAUAUAAGGGAUUGCAUAAAACAAGAAGAUUGACAUGGACAAGUUUUGUGUGGACUUGUGAAAAAGUUGCCUACUAAUAAUGCAAUACUGGAA